rnacentral:tRNA from 1 species
GGACUCUUAACUCAGCAGGUCAGAGUACCCGGUUAUGAGCCGGGUAGUCCUGGGUUCGAAUCCCGGAGGGUCCA